ACAAAAUUCUAUUUAAAAAAAAUAUAUUUAUAUUGAAAAAGUUCUUUCAUGUUAUGACUGGCAUGCCAUUGAAUUUCGUGUGUGCAUAUUUAAAUUAUUUAAUCAAGACAUGCAUGCAUAUAUAUACUACAUUCAAACUGCUUUGGUAAUUGGAAAUGCAAAUGUGUAAUAUUAUUUAUUAGUGACGUGCGCGUAUUUUCGUUAGUGUACACCGUUUGUUGUUUGAUAUAAAACUAUUUUGAUGCAUUAACAAGACUUGGAAGCUGGUGCAAGCGAACAGCCUUUUAAUGCAGAUUUCAUUACUAAAAGUCAUCAGCAACAAUUUGGACUUGGUCUUAAAUUGCAAGCAACUUCAAUUUUGGGAACAACAUACGAGUCACAUUAUGAUUUUGGCAGAUAAGUAACUGCAAAAAAACUGAAGGAAGCCUUCGCUUUUGGAAUUUUUGACACGAAGAUAUGUUUUGUGAAUAUAAGACAACACUUCGUAGAUAGCUUAGAUGCUAUCAUAUUGUAUUAGAAGCUUGGAACAACAGCUACCAGCUCAUUGGAUUUUCCAGACACAACCUUUUAAUAACUUUUGCUGGCAAACAAACUCUUCGAACGUUUCACUCUAUUUACAAUAGCUGUCAUCGAUUGGUCACUUCUCUGCUCGCUAUCUUUGGGCGCUGUUCGCCUAUCAAAAAUUUUACAUGUGAAAGCAACAACAAAGUUAUCUAGUUGAAUUCGUGCAGGAGAGUAUGCGAAUACCUCAUUAAAAUUUCAAUCGCCGCUUGCUGAGUGCUACCAAGUUUUGUUUUACACAUUUUAGAACCAUUUUACUAUUGUGAACGGCUCAAAGGACAAAUCAUUGUCAAAAUAAUAAAAAUUGUUAUACACAAAUUUGAAAUUGAAAAUGGCAAGCGAAGAUAAAUCGUCAGUAUUUUUGUAUUAAAUUUAAUGAAUAAAAAUUAAAUUUGUUGCAAAAAACGUAAGACAUGGACGGUGGUAGAAGAGUUCAGUGCGACCUAGUAUAGACAAUUCGAUUUCAGUGCUGACAGUUAGUAUGAAAAUUUGGAAAGUUUGUUCGAUUGGCUUGUCUAUAGCAGUUAGCCAAUCGAUGACAGCUAAUGUUUCGGAGUGUCGCAUAGUCUAUAAAAGAAUACGCUACAAGGAGUAUGACAACAACCAACACCCAUGUCACGACAAUUAUUUUGUUCAUGUUUUAUGCACGUUUCCGUAACCGAGUAGAUGAUGAAAUGAUUUGCCAUUAUUAAUAUGAUACAUAUUUUUCUUUAAUGAAUUAAUGCUGUAGGUGGCGUAAUUGUAAUUAGUAAUGCUUGUAGUAGUAAUACAGCAUAACGAAACGAUAAUUAGUUUGUGUUAAUGUUUAUGUACGGCGGCGACAUUUGUAUAUUAAAAAAAAAUGUAUGCGGGGGUUUAUUACUUUAUAUUACAUUUAUGUAGUAAAUGAACUUUUUUCCUCAUAUGAUUUUCAAUUAUUUACUUUAUAUGGCAUGCUAUAAGAGAACAAACAAAAAAAAACAA